rnacentral:rRNA from 1 species
GACGAACGCUGGCGGCGUGCUUAACACAUGCAAGUCGAACGAAGUGGCGAACGGGUGAGUAACGCGUAAUCAACCUGCCAUUCAGAGGGGGACAACAGUUGGAAACGACUGCUAAUACCGCAUACUGAAGGAGGGGUCUGCGUCUGAUUAGGUAGAUGGAGGGGUAACGGCCCACCAAGGCGCUGAUCAGAAGCCGGGUCUGGAGGAGGAACGGCCACAGUGGGACUGAGACAAGGCCCAGACACCUACGGGAGGCAGCAGUUGGGAAUCUGCCGGAAUGGACGAAAGUCUGACGGAGCAAAGCCGCGGGAGUGAUGACGGCCUUCGGGUUGUAAAGCUCUGUUAAUCGGGACGCGGUACCGAAAUAGAAAGCCACGGCUAACUACGUGCCAGCAGCCGCGGUAAUAC